UUUUUUCCUUUUUUUCUUUUUUAUUUGGGAACACCUUUGGUGUUUUUUUUGGGUCCAUCGGCGAGUUCUGGUAGGAAGACCUUACCGCUAUGCCCUACAUGGAUAGACAGGGGCGGACCUGCGGGUUCAUGGACCUGGAGGAUCCCGAGCAGAAUGGUCGCUUCUUUCGUCGCUAUUUCCUGAUUGACCAGGAGAAAGGCCAGUUGCUGUGGUACAUGGAUAAUCCCUCUAAUCUUCCAGAUGGAACAAGUCACGUUGAUGCUAUACAGUUGUCACAGAUUUCCAAUGCAAGAGAUGCUACCAAGCAAAGGCCAAAAGUACCGUUUUGUUUUGUGGUAAGCGUACCAUCGCGGAGCUAUUACUUCCGAGCAGACAAUCAGCAAGAUAUGGAGGAAUGGGUUCUAAGUCUAAACAAGGCUUGCCGGGUCACGGUGCCAGUUACAGACGCGUCCAAAGUGUCCACUCCUCUCAAGCUGGACAUUGGCAAGGCCAACAGCCAGGCCAACUCGUCCCCGAAAUCUCCAGUCCGGGGGAUCAGUUACACAACGGAGAUCGUAGGGGGAGUUGUUCAUCGGAAGCCUGUUGAGAGCAGCGACAAGCGGGUAAGCCAACAGCCGCUGGGCCAGCAGCAGACCCUGCCGACCACUGUCCACCAGGCCCAGCUCAGCUUGACCCAGACUGUGCACAGUGAUACAGACAGCGAGGACGAGAGUGCCAGCCUGCGGGCCAGGUCCUGGCCGCGGUCUGUCUCCCCAUCCGGUGGUAGCGAGAAGAGUCUAUCCAGGAUAUUCCCCGGAAGGAACGUCAUCAAGGCCGGCUGGUGCGUCAAACAGGGGGCACUGAGGAAAAGUUGGAAGAGGAGGUUUUUCAUUUUGGACGAUGAAGGUCUAGCUUACUACAAAUCCUCAACAGACAAACUUCCGCUGAAGACGAUAUCGAAAAAAGACAUCACUGUCUCCAGGAUGUCAGAUUCAGGACAAGCACUUCAGAGAGACAACUUGUUUGAAAUAGUCAGCCUGUCGAGGACGUUCUUCGUACAGGCCUACUCUCCUGAUGACAUGGCUGAAUGGAUAAACUCGAUAAACGAAGUGAAAAACCCCAAACGUGCCAGUGCCCCCCAAGCAAGCCACACCUCAUAUUGUGAAGAUGAUGAGCCCGAAGAUUAUGUGUAACCUUCAUGAACAGCCCUAGAAAGUGUUUAACUUCAACGUUGAGUCAUAUUCAUGCCCUACAUGUGCAGCACUAACACUUGCCCUGAAACUCAGCCUCAUCUCGAAACUUUUGGACUGCAAGCGGGAGGCAUCGGCCGAGGGCAAGCCCAAGACACCCAGGACACCCCACGAG
rnacentral:misc_RNA from 1 species